rnacentral:rRNA from 1 species
CUUGACGACCAUAGAGCAUUGGAACCACCUGAUCCCAUCCCGAACUCAGUAGUGAAACGAUGUAUCGCCGAUGGUAGUGUGGG